rnacentral:tRNA from 1 species
GAGAUACUAGUAAAAUAUUACAUAACUUUGUCAAAGUUAAGUUACAAGUGAAAACCUUGUGUUUCUCC